rnacentral:rRNA from 1 species
GACGAACGCUGGCGGCGUGCUUAACACAUGCAAGUCGAACGAUGAACAGGAGCUUGCUCCUGGGAUUAGUGGCGAACGGGUGAGUAACACGUGAGUAACCUGCCCUUGACUCUGGGAUAAGCGUUGGAAACGACGUCUAAUACCGGAUAUGACUCUCGCCGGCAUCGGCUGGGGGUGGAAAGAUUUUUUGGUCAAGGAUGGACUCGCGGCCUAUCAGGUAGUUGGUGAGGUAAUGGCUCACCAAGCCGACGACGGGUAGCCGGCCUGAGAGGGUGACCGGCCACACUGGGACUGAGACACGGCCCAGACUCCUACGGGAGGCAGCAGUGGGGAAUAUUGCACAAUGGGCGCAAGCCUGAUGCAGCAACGCCGCGUGAGGGAUGACGGCCUUCGGGUUGUAAACCUCUUUUAGUAGGGAAGAAGCGACUGAAUUUAUUCUGAGUGACGGUACCUGCAGAAAAAGCACCGGCUAACUACGUGCCAGCCGCCGCCGUAACAC